UUGGGGGGUGGGGCUGGCCCACUUCGUCCGCCGGACUCGGAAUGGCGCGAGACUUUGUGAGGCACCUCAGUGUACCAAAAAUAGGCCGCGGGCACAGCCGCGCCCAAAAAUAACCGCCCGAAGGCCGGGGCACCAAGUUCGUCCAGCGGAAAAAUGCCACAAAAACGGGUGGGCUAUAGCCUUAGGGGGUGGGGCUGGCCAACAUCGUCCGCCUGACUUGGAAUGGCGCGAGACUUUGCGAUGCACCUCCAUGUACCAAAAAUAGGCCGUGGGCUCAGCCUCAGCCAAAAAUAACAGCCCGAAGGCCGGGGCGCCAAGUUCGUCCUGCGGAAAAAGGCCACAGAAACGGGUGGGCUAUAGCCUUGGGGGGUGGGGCUGGCCAACUUUGUCCGCCUGAGUCUGAAUGGUGCGAGAAUUUNNNNNNNNNNNNNNNNNNNNNNNNNNNNNNNNNNNNNNNNNNNNNNNNNNNNNNNNNNNNNNNNNNNNNNNNNNNNNNNNNNNNNNNNNNNNNNNNNNNNCGCGGGCACAGCCGCGCCCAAAAAUAACAGCCCGAAGGCCGGGGCGCCAAGUUCGUCCAGCGGAAAAAGCCCACAAAAACGGGUGGGCUAUAGCAUUGGGGGGUGGGGCUGGCCGACUUCGUCCGCCGGACUCGGAAUGGCGCGAGACUUUGCGAGGCCCCUCUGUGUACCAAAACUAGGCCAUGGACACAGCCGCGCACAAAAAUAACCGCCCGAAGGCCGGAGCGCCAAGUUCGUCCAACGGAAAAAUGCCACAAAAACGGGUGGGCUAUAACUUCGGGGGGUGGGGCUGGCCAACUUCGUCCGCCGGACUCGGAAUGGCGCGAAACUUUGUGAGGCGCCUCCGUUUUCCAAAAAUAGGCCGCGGGCACAGCCGCCCCCAAAAAUAACUGCCCGAAGGCCAGGGCGCCAAGUUCGUCCAGCGGAAAAAUGCCACAAAAAUGGGUGGGCAAUAGCCUUGGGGGGUGGGGCUGGCCAACUUCGUCCGCCGGAGUCGGAAUGGUGCGAGAAUUUGUGAGGCGUCUCCGUGUGCCAAAAAUAGGCCGCGGACACAGCCGCGCCCAAAAAUAACAGCCCGAAGGCCGGGGCGCCAAGUUCGUCCAGCGGAAAAAGCCCACAAAAACGGGUGGGCUAUAGCAUUGGGGGGUGGGGCUGGCCAACUUCGUCCGCCGGACUCGGAAUGGCGCGAGACUUUACGAGGCGCCUCCGUGUGCCAAAAAUAGGCCACGGGUACAGCCGCGCCCAAAAAUAACUGCCCGAAGGCCGGGGCGCCAAGUUCGUCCAACGGAAAAAUGCCACAAAAACGGGUGGGCUAUAGCCAUAGGUGGUGGGGCUGGCCAACAUCGUCAGCCGGACUCGGAAUGGCGGGAGACUUUGCGAGGCGCCUCCGUGAGCCCAAGAUAGGCCCCGGGCACAGCCGCGCCCAAAAAUAGCCACCCGAAGGGCGGGGCGCCAAGUUCGUCCAGCGGAAAAAUGCCACAAAAAUGGGUGGGCAAUAGCCUUCGGGGGUGGGGCUGGCCAACUUCGUCCGCCGGAGUCGGAAUGGUGCGAGAAUUUGUGAGGCGUCUCCGUGUGCCAAAAAUAGGCCGCGGGCACAGCCGCGCCCAAAAAUAACAGCCCGAAGGCCGGGGCGCCAAGUUCGUCCAGCGGAAAAAGCCCACAAAAACGGGUGGGCUAUAGCAUUGGGGGGUGGGGCUGUCCAACUUCGUCCGCCGGACUCGGAAUGGCGCGAGACUUUGCGAGGCGCCUCCGUGUGCCAAAAAUAGGCCACGGGUACAGCCGCUCCCAAAAAUAACUGCCCGAAGGCCGGGGCGCCAAGUUCGUCCAACGGAAAAAUGCCACAAAAACGGGUGGGCUAUAGCCAUAGGGGGUGGGGCUGGCCAACAUCGUCAGCCGGACUCGGAAUGGCGGGAGACUUUGCGAGGCGCCUCCGUGAGCCCAAAAUAGGCCGCGGGCACAGCCGCGCCCAAAAAUAACCGCCCGAAGGCCGGGGCGCCAAGUUCGUCCAGCGGAAAAAUGCCACAAAAACGGGUGGGCUAUAGCCAUAGGGGGUGGGGCUGGCCAACAUCGUCAGCCGGACUCGGAAUGGCGGGAGACUUUGCGAGGCGCCUCCGUGAGCCCAAGAUAGGCCCCGGGCACAGCCGCGCCCAAAAAUAGCCACCCGAAGGGCGGGGCGCCAAGUUCGUCCAGCGGAAAAAUGCCACAAAAAUGGGUGGGCAAUAGCCUUCGGGGGUGGGGCUGGCCAACUUCGUCCGCCGGAGUCGGAAUGGUGCGAGAAUUUGUGAGGCGUCUACGUGUGCCAAAAAUAGGCCGCGGGCACAGCCGCGCCCAAAAAUAACAGCCCGAAGGCCGGGGCGCCAAGUUCGUCCAGCGGAAAAAGCCCACAAAAACGGGUGGGCUAUAGCAUUGGGGGGUGGGGCUGGCCAACUUCGUCCGCCGGACUCGGAAUGGCGCGAGACUUUGCGAGGCGCCUCCUUGUGCCAAAAAUAGGCCACGGGUACAGCCGCUCCCAAAAAUAACUGCCCGAAGGCCGGGGCGCCAAGUUCGUCCAACGGAAAAAUGCCACAAAAACGGGUGGGCUAUAGCCAUAGGGGGUGGGGCUGGCCAACAUCGUCAGCCGGACUCGGAAUGGCGGGAGACUUUGCGAUGCGCCUCCGUGAGCCCAAAAUAGGCCGCGGGCACAGCCACGCCCAAAAAUAGCCACCCGAAGGCCGGGGCGCCAAGUUCGUCCAGCGGAAAAAUUCCACAAAAACGGGUGGGCUAUAGCCUUAGGGGGUGGGGCUGGCCAACAUCGUCCGCCGGACUCGGAAUGGUGCGAAACUUUGCGAGGCACCUCCGUGUGCCAAAAAUAGGCCACGGACGCAGCCACAGCAAAAAAUAACCGCCCGAAGGCCAGGGCGCCAAGUUCGUCCAGCGGAAAAAGCCCACAAAAACGGGUGGGCUAUAGCCUUGGGGGGUGGGGUGACCAACUUCGUCCGCCGGACUCGGAAUGCCGGGAGACUUUGCGAGGGGCCUCCGUGUGCCAAAAAUAGGCCGCAGGCAAAGCCACGCCUAAAAAUAACCGCCCAAAUGCCGGGGCGCCAAGUUCGUCCGGCGGAAAAAGGCCACAAAAGUGGGUGGGCUAUAGCCUUGAGGGGUGGGGCUGGCCAACUUCGUCCGUCGGACUCGGAAUGCCGCGAUACUUUGCGAGGGGCCUCCGUGUGCCAAAAAUAGGCCGCGGGCAAAACCACGCCCAAAAAUAACCGCCCGAAGGCCGGGGCGCCAAGUUCCUCCUGCGGAAAAAGGCCACCAAAACUGGUGGGCUAUAGCCUUGGGGGGUGGGGCUGGCCAACUUCGUCCGCCGGACUCGGAAUGGUGCGAGACUUUGCGAGGGGCCUCCGUGUGCCAAAAAUAAGCCGCGAGCAAGGCCGCGCCCCAAAAUAACCGCCCGAAGGCCGGGGCGCCAAGUUCGUCCAGCGGAAAAAGGCCACAAAAAUGGUUGGGCUAUAGCCUUGGGGGGUGGGGCUGGCCAACUUCAUCCGCCGGACUCGGAAUGCCGUGAGACUUUACGAGGGGCCUCCGUGUGCCAAAAAUAGGCCGCGGCCAAAGCCGCGCCCAAAAAUAACCGCCCGAAGGCCGGGGCACCAAGUUCGUCCGCCGGACUCGGAAUGCCGCGAGACUUUGCGAGGGGCCUCCGUGUGCCAAAAAUAGGCCGCGGGCACAGCUUCACCCAAAAAUAAGCGACCGAAGGCCGGGGCGCCAAGUUCGUCCAGCGGAAAAAGGCCAAAAAAACGGGUGGGCUAAAGCCUUGGGGGGUUGGGCUGGCCAAGUUCGUCCGCCGGACUCGGAAUUGCGCGAGACUUUGCGAGGGGCCUCCGUGUGCCAAAAAUAGGCCGCGGGCACAGCUUCACCCAAAAAUAAGCGACCGAAGGCCGGGGCGCCAAGUUCNNNNNNNNNNNNNNNNNNNNNNNNNNNNNNNNNNNNNNNNNNNNNNNNNNNNNNNNNNNNNNNNNNNNNNNNNNNNNNNNNNNNNNNNNNNNNNNNNNNNAAAAGGCCAAAAAAACGGGUGGGCUAAAACCCUGGGGGGGUGGGGCUGGCCAAGUUCGUCCGCCGGACUCGGAAUUGCGCGAGACUUUGCGAGGGGCCUCCGUGUGCCAAAAAUAAGCCGCAGGAAAAGCCACACCCAAAAAUAACCGCCCGAAGGCCGGGGCGCCAAGUUCGUCCGGCGGAAAGAUGCCACAAAAACGGGUGGGCUAUAGCCUUGGGGAGUGGGGCUGGCCAACUUCGUCCGCCGGACACGGAAUGCCGCGAGACUUUGCGAGGGGCCUCCGUGUGCCAAAAAUAGGCCACAGCCAAAGCCGCGCCCAAAAAUAACGCCCGAAGGCCGGGGCGCCAAGUUCGUCCAGCGGAAAAAGGCCACAAAAACGGGUGGGCUAUAGCCUUGAGGGGUGGGGCUGGCCAACUUCGGCCGCCGGCCUCGGAAUGGCGCGAGACUUUGCGAGGGGCCUCCGUGUGCCAAAAAUAGGCCGUGGACAAAGCCGCGACAAAAAAUAACCUCCCGAAGGCCGGGGCGCCGAGUUCGUCCAGCGGAAAAAGGCCACAAAAAUGGGUGGGUUAUAGCCUUGGGGGGUGGGGCUGGCCUACUUCGUCCGCCGGACUUGGAAUGGCGCGAGACUUUGUGAGGGGCCUCCGUGUGCCAAAAAAAGGCCGCGGGCAAAGCCGCGCCCAAAAAUAACCGCCCGAAGGCCGGGGCGACAAGUUCGUCCAGCGGAAAAAGGCCACAAAAACGGGUGGGCUAUAGCCUUGGGGGGUGGCGCUGGCCGACUUCGUCCGCCGGACUCGGAAUGGCGCGAGACUUUGCGAGGGGCCUCCGUGUGCCAAAAAUAGGCCGCGGGCAAAGCCGCACCCAAAAAUAACCGUCCGAAGGCCGGGGCGCCAAGUUCGUCCAGCAGAAAAAGGCCACAAAAACGGGUGGGCUAUAGCCUUGGGGGGUGGGGCUGGCCACCUUCGUCCGCCGGACUCGGAAUGCCGCGAGACUUUACGAGGGGCCUCCGUGUGCCAAAUAUAGGCCGAGUACAAAGCCGCGCCCACAAAUAACCGCCCGAAGGCCGGGGCGCCAAGUUCGUCCAGCGGAAAAAGGCCACAAAAACGGGUGGGCUAUAGCCUUGAGGGGUGGGGCUGGCCAACUUCGUCCGCCGGACUCGGAAUGCCGCGAGACAUUCCGAGGGGCCUCCGUGUGCCAAAAAUAGGCCGCGGGCAAAGCCGCGCCGAAAAAUAACUGCCCGAAGGCCGGGGCGCCAAGUUCGUCCAGCGGAAAAAGGCCACAAAAACGGGUGGGCUAUAGCCUUGGGGGGUGGGCCGGCCCACUUCGUCCGCCGGACUCGGAAUGCCGCGAGAAUUUGUGAGGUGCCUCAGUGUGCCAAAAAUAGGCCGCGGGCAAUGCCGCGCCCAAAAAUAACCGCCCGAAGGCCGGGGCGCCAAGUUCGUCCAGCGGAAAAAGCCCCAAAAACGGGUGCGCUAUAGCCUUGGGGGGUGGGGCCCUCCGACUUCGUCCGCCGGACUCGGAAUGGCGCGAGAAUUUGCAAGGCACCUCCGUGUGCCAAAAAUAGGCGGCGGGCACAGCCGCGCCCAAAAAUAACUGCCCGAAGGCCGGGGUGCCGAGUUCGUCCAGCGGAAAAAGCCCACAAAAACGGGUGGGCUAUAGCCUUGGGGGGUGGGGUGGCCAACUUCGUCCGCCGGACUCGGAAUGGCGUGAGACUUUGCGA
rnacentral:lncRNA from 1 species